rnacentral:lncRNA from 10 species
UUCAGCAUUUUCAUAGCCCCAGUGAGGCUGGGGGUGAGAACAGAGGGCACAUUUGGAGAAACUGGUUGUUUUACCAAGGCUUUGACUGGAAGAGUAUAUUUCCCUUUAAGGAGACAAGCUCAACUUUCAGAGCCGAUAAGAGCCUGUUGGAAAAACUGGCCUCCUACCCUUGUUUACACAGUCCCUGUACAGGGUUCCUAACUUGCUGUGGGUAAAGAUUGUCACUUUUCAACAGGCCCAGGAACCACAUGC